rnacentral:rRNA from 1 species
CAUUACAAGUGACCCCGGUCUAACCACCGGGAUGUUCAUAACCCUUUGUUGUCCGACUCUGUUGCCUCCGGGGCGACCCUGCCUUCGGGCGGGGGCUCCGGGUGGACACUUCAAACUCUUGCGUAACUUUGCAGUCUGAGUAAACUUAAUUAAUAAAUUAAAACUUUUAACAACGGAUCUCUUGGUUCUGGCAUCGAUGAAGAACGCAGCGAAAUGCGAUAAGUAAUGUGAAUUGCAGAAUUCAGUGAAUCAUCGAAUCUUUGAACGCACAUUGCGCCCCCUGGUAUUCCGGGGGGCAUGCCUGUUCGAGCGUCAUUUCACCACUCAAGCCUCGCUUGGUAUUGGGCAACGCGGUCCGCCGCGUGCCUCAAAUCGACCGGCUGGGUCUUCUGUCCCCUAAGCGUUGUGGAAACUAUUCGCUAAAGGGUGUUCGGGAGGCUACGCCGUAAAACAACCCCAUUUCUAAGGUUGACCUCGGAUCAGGUAGGGAUACCCGCUGAACUUAAGCAUAUCAAUAAGCGGAGGAAAAGAAACCAACAGGGAUUGCUCUAGUAACGGCGAGUGAAGCAGCAAUAGCUCAAAUUUGAAAUCUGGCGUCUUCGACGUCCGAGUUGUAAUUUGUAGAGGAUGCUUCUGAGUAACCACCGACCUAAGUUCCUUGGAACAGGACGUCAUAGAGGGUGAGAAUCCCGUAUGCGGUCGGAAAGGUGCUCUAUACGUAGCUCCUU